rnacentral:tRNA from 1 species
GGGGUUGUGGCUCAGCGGUAGAGUGCUUGCUUAGCAUGCAUGAGGCACUGGGUUUGAUCCUCAGCACCA